ensembl:ribozyme RNaseP_nuc Nuclear RNase P
GUCAGAGGGAAGCUCACCACUGAGGUCACAUGCAGGGUGCUUGUCACUCGGUGCCCAAUACCUCUGGGAAGGUCUGAGACAAGAGCCAUUAGCUGUCCUUGCAGGGCAUCACCUGCUGCAGGUGGAUGAGUUACCAGCUAUGUUGGGCCCUGGGUGUGGGGCAAAUUGGGCAGGAGAAGCUAGAGAAAUCUCCCUAGUAGAUGCCUGGCCCCCUCCCAUGGGUUUGGGACAGACUCAUGGCUGGCAGUGCUGAGUUCAAUGGGAUGAGGUGAGACACCCUCCUCCGGGGCCUCAUAACCCAAUUCAGACUACUCUCCCUCUGAC